rnacentral:tRNA from 1 species
GCUGUAGCUCAGUGGUAGAACAUUUGCUUUGCAUGCAGAAGGUCACAGGUUCAGUCCCUGGGAAAGGUG